rnacentral:tmRNA from 1 species
GGGGUUGACUGGAUUUGACAGCAGGCCGAGAUGGUACGUAAGCAUGCGGAGUGACGGCUGUAAACUCCAUAAUCCAUUCGGUCGAACAAUUAAUUGGCGAAACAAAGUACGCUCUCGCUGCCUAAUCGAAGUACAGUAGAUUACUGGCUUUAUCGUUCUACAAGGUAGGACGACGAGACAUCGCUCUUUCGGAUGUGGUUCCGAGUCAGAAAGGUAUAGCGGUGCAGGUAAUUCGGAGAUAGUCCAUCGGGCGUCCCGACUGGUGGAUGAAAAUUAGGGAAUAAGGCUGUGAUUGGUGGCUUGGGUCUUGUCACAGCACGAAAAUGAAGGCCAAGAUAAGCAUGUAGAAAGCGUAUGGUUUCCCUGUUUGGACGAGGGUUCGAUUCCCUCCAGCUCCACA